rnacentral:lncRNA from 1 species
UGCAAACAAAAGGAGGGACCAAAUCGGGAAAUAAACCCUUUUUCUAAAACGCACGGCACCACAUAGGACCAAAAUGAAAACCAAAAUAAAUUAUAGGGUAAAAUUAGAAAUAAUGAAAAAUUUAAUUUCAAAAUAAUAAAAAAGCAGAAGGGCCAAAAGUGUAAAUAACCCAUUAAUUAAAAACACGCGGAUCCUGUCAUUGGAGCGGGUUGGAUCGGGUCGGCCUCCUCAAAACGACGUCGUUUUGAUGUCUAGGGAGGCCUAA